GCCGCGGUGGUGAAAUUGGUAGACACGCUAGCCUUAGGAGCUAGUUCCCGCAAGGGAUUGUCGGUUCAAAUCCGACCCGCGGCA
rnacentral:tRNA from 1 species